UCUUGCUGAAUGCCUUCGCUAUUACAUAGCUGAUCGUUUAAAUAAUGAUCCUGGGUGGAAAAAUUUGACAGUUAUUUUAUCUGAUGCUAGUGCUCCUGGUGAAGGAGAACAUAAAAUUAUGGAUUACAUUAGAAGACAAAGAGCUCAGCCUAACCAUGACCCAAACACUCAUCAUUGCUUAUGUGGAGCAGAUGAGAAGAAUUCAAACCAAACAAACCCAAGCCAUGUGCUCUUUGUAAUCAGUUUGAAC